UAAAGCCUGCAGGAGACAUUAUAAUUCAAAUACUAGCCUAGAUGUGCUAAAUAUUUUAUUGACAAUCAAUUUUAUUUCACUCUACUUGAGAAAUGAAUAAGGGCGAAUGUUGCUAUUUGGCAGCAUCAGGUUUUUGACUUGAACUGGAAGCAUACAAGGUUGGUUAAACUAAUGUGAAUUUCUCCCUCAAGGUGAGUAUUAGCAACCUCUUAACUAAGAACACCUGGGCACGUUUUUUCCCCAGGGUAGGCCACUUCAUGUGGUCUUCAGACGCUGGCUCCCAAGCGCAGUGCGUAUGUGCAAGCCUCUUACAGAGUCAUGGGCCUGUGAAAUGUCCGGCUCCUCCAAGAAGGCCACUCCUGUGGACCACAGAUGCAGAUAGGGCAGGAUUCUGGUCCUUCUCAAUGUCCUCCUGAAGAGGACCUUGCAGAACCUCCAGUUCUUUUUCAUUCAUCAACUUAUCAAGACCACAGCAACUAACUGCAGGCAGUAGGUCAUCAGAGAGCACCAGGCUGGGCUCCCCUGUGUUACACAGCAGCUUCCCACUAGCAAUCAAUUUUGCACAGCCACAUGAGCUGCUAUAUAGGGCUACUCUCCAAGAGGGAGAGAGCAAGAGAUGCAUAGAGAAGCCCCAGGGAACCGCAACUACUAAGCCCCCAAGCCACAACUACUGAAGCCCAAGAGCACUCUGGCCCAUGCUCUGCAACAAAAGAAGUCACCGCAAUGAGAAACGAAAAGGAACCCCCAAUCGCCACAACUAGAGAAGAGCCCACGAAGAAAGGAAGACCCAGCACAGCCAAAAAUAAAUUAAUUUUUAAAAAGCCACUGAGAAAGCUCCCUUGUCCUUUCCACUCUGUGAGGAUACAAGAAGCCAGCUGUCUGCAACCCAGACGAGGCCUCUCACCAGACUAACCAUGCCGGCACCUUGACCUUGUACUUUCAGCUUCCAGAACUGUAAGCA